rnacentral:lncRNA from 1 species
UUGCAGAUGGACCAAAAGCUGCCAGCUUUUUGGCGAUGGCCUCGUCGGUGAGCGCCGUAAAACCUCUUCCAUGUGCAGGGCUCACUGUGCCGCAGAUUCUCCUCUUUUUUUUUUUUUUAACAAAAUGCUGCUUACCUUGUGACACAAGAGAAUCACCAGGAUAUCCCAAACAGCUGUCCAGCAGCAUUUUCAGGGAACUGGUCUGUCCGUAUGCUGCUUCGCCCCGCAUCGAAGAAGAAUGGCCGUAACCACUGUUGAGCUGCAGUUGAGCUCGUCUCCUUCGGACCAACUCUCAGCCAGGCUCCAGAGCUCACCGGGAGGCUCAGGCAGGUGAGCUCUCCCCUCGGCCGGGAAGGCAAAGUGGGGACGAUCUCCCCGUCUGUUACUGAUCCACUCGGAGGUUUCAAAGGUCCCCAAAUGCCAUCGGUCUGCAUCUGCCAGGAGGUGUGGAUGCAGGAGCUGGAACGAGCCUAUGCUGCCAUUCUUAAACACCUCCUGAAGUGGGGAUCAGAGGUAACCUGGUUAGUAUGAAGACUCGUUCUCAUUAGAACAGAGCACAGAAUAAAGUAGAAAAAGUUGAUGGAGUCAAAGCAGGUUGGAGAGUUGAUCGUUAUGGUAUUUUGUUUUGUUUUUUUUUUUAAAGUUCUAUUUGUUAAAGCAUUUGCAGAUAAAUGAUUUAUUCUUAGGAGUUAAAUGUAACAAGUUUGGGGUAAGUAGAUGGAGGGCAAACCCUGUGGGUGUGCUGAACUUGGUAACAGCCAUCACUCUGUAACAACCACCGUGCUACAUUUGACUAAUCAUAUUUCUUUGCAUUAAGUUUUUCACAUUCACCAGGUGCUAAGAACUACAUUUCGUGGUACUUGUGAAGUGUAGCACCCACCGUCGGAGUUAGUGCCAUCGGACACGUGCCUGCGGUUGUCCUGCCCCAGAAGAAGAUGAGAAUCGCGGGCAGCACGGAUACAGAGAGGGAAUCGCUCAUUCGGGGAAAUAAAUCGCUGGAAAGAAGCGCCCGGGAUGAACGAGCAGGACGCAGGGUUCGGCGCCGCUCUUCCCAGCCAGCGAGAUCCUGAUUAACUCGUUACCUCUCGCCGUGCCUUGCCGCCGGUCUGGCUCGGGGCGGUGCGGCGGUGCCUCCCUCCGCAGCCGCACCGGGCGCUGGCUCUGCCGGAUGAUGUCAUGGCAGAGGGGAAGGGAGCGCGGGUGGCUACUGGGCUCUUGAGUGAGUAGCCCUCGAAUAGUUUCCUUUUUUCCUGCCUGUCGAUGCCAGCGUACGCCCAAGAGCAGGCUGCUUUUUGCCGGGCUCGUGUUAAAAAUCUGGCGUGAUCCCUAAAGCCAAGUCCCUCGGCCACAGCCACUUUAAACCCCCCGAUUUCGUACAAACCCGCCUGUGCUGCCCACCCUGAGCAGAGCAGUGCUGGGGGCACCUUUGUCUCCUCCUCCCCCAGAUCUCAACCCCUCUAUUUUUUUCAUAAAAGGCCUUUUUUCCCUCCUGCUGUAGCCUGAGGCAGGGGGUUCUCCCAGCUGAUCCCCUGGGUCUCCAGGUACAAGUUUCAUUAACGCACACUCCCAGUUCUGAGCCCGAUUGCCAUCGAUUACACCACAGCACAAACCAGAGCAGACUCUGGCCCCUCCAUUACUUUGCCCUUUGAUUUACCUGUUUUCCCUUCAAAAAAGCCCCACAGCUGCCUGGAGCUUCUCCUGGUUUUUUUUCUUCUCCUUCCCCUCUCAGGUACAGCAGCAGGGAAGUAAAAGGUUGAGCUGUCACAUUCACCUUCCACCGAUCCCUCCUCGUCAGCCAUUUCAGAGGCCAAGUGCUGACUACCAAAACUUUUCCCUGGGCUGCUCCAAAACUUUUAAGUUUUUUCCCCUCACUUGUAGCUUAGAAGUAUAUUUUUAGGCAGUUUUUGCCCAGAUCUCAGUUAACUGACCUGGGAGGAAAGAGAGUUAAGUUUAAGCAAGCCUUUAGGCAAAGAAACAUACUUUGGCUUAAUAGGUUAGAGAGGUGUCAGCAGCAUCCAUUGUACACAUUAAGAGCUGUUAUCGCUUUUUCCAGGUAUUUUUAACCAUUGCAGCUGAUUGAGCAGGCUUAGAAUUUAAAAUAAGCAGGGAAAAAAAAUAUAACAAAAAGGGUUAAGUGAGAAACUACGGCUAGUUUUAAUCAGACACUACCAUAGACCAGUUAUAACAUCACAAAAAUAACUCAAAAUGUAUUCCCUUCUGGAAUGCCAUUCUGAAUAUCUUCUAGAAAUCACACCGAAACCGUUACAGUUACAAGUAAUUAAAUUUAUUAGACCUCUAUAAUUUUUUAUAGUCAGUUUUGGCCAAUUUACAGCUUUCCUGGGGAUCUUUUUUGUUUGUUUUUGUUUAGACACAAAAAAAAUAAAUCAUAAACCAAGUAUCACCGACACAUCAACCCCCCCCCCCUCGCCCCCUCACAGCCACCUAAAAAAGAGGGGGAGGAGGCCUCGGCAGCGCCCGGGCCCCCCGCUCCCCAGUUGCGCUUUAUUCCCGUUAAAAAGGG